UUGUGUUAACUGUCCUCUAGCCCUUUAUUACUGUUCAGUUUAUGAUAAUAGACGGGGGUUGGCUGUAUAUAUUUGGUGUGAACUGUUUCUCAACCCAGCAGUGACACUUUCAGAUUCUCAGCAACACUGCUGUGUUUGAUACAUUCAUACCAGCACACACUACUAUGCCAUUACCCUCUCGGUGUCACUGCGGUUGAGAGAAUGAAUCAUAGCCCGCAGUCUACAAUCAGGCAGCCCCUUUGCACUAAUGGAUGGGGUAGAGCGAGGCUGAUAAAUUGUGCAAAAAGUGAUUUAUAUAGUAGAUGUAUUAGAUAAAAUGACCAAUGAGUAUGAGUAAAAGCUUUUCACAUAUUUACUUUAAAAGCAACACAAGUCUAGUAUGAAUUUGUACUAUUGAAAUACUCACUUCUUACAGUGCUCCAACCAUGCGAGCUCGGCCUGAGUUCUUUCCCACAGUGCUUUCUCUCGGAGCCUGAAGAGGGCACUGAACUGGCGCGCCCUGAUUUCCUCUUCCCAGAUAUACUGCUGACUCUGUGCCAAUGAGAGGUGGCACUGGAACUGUCCCUGACUGUACAUCCCGCUCAGAUCACUCCACUGCACACAGCGGAUUCAUGUUUAUCAUCAGUGGGCCUUGUGUAUGUCAGAACUUCUUUAUGACCAGUGAUGCCAAGCCUGACAGUCUCAUUCUUCACACGUGCAUCCAGAGAGGCUAUCGUCUUUCUGAGAGCCUCCACUCUGUGUCUCUGAGCCUCAGCCUGGAUAAUCAAAGAGCUAUUCACAUCAACCAGGUGCACAGGAUUGUUGGUCUUAGACCGGGCAUCAGAAAACAGCUCCAUCUGCAAAGUUCUGCCACAUAAACAGAAACACACAAUAAAACCAACCAUAUGUAAUAUAACAUAAUUAACCGUGGCACAUUGAGUUUACUCUAAAACAAGAAAACAUCGAAACCUAAUACUAGUGAAUGCUGCCCUCACCUGGAUGUAUCCAAAACAGCAUAUUGUGCAUUGAGUUGCAGUCCAGGAAUCUUGCUGUUAGCAAAUACUCCUUUGUCAGCAUUUUUGCUUUUCUAAGAAAUGAAAUGUUAUGAAAGACAGCAUCAGAGCCUACUCUGAUGAAACACUUGUCCACUACAGUGUGUGUGUGUGUGUGUGUGUGUGUGUGUGUGUGUGUGUGUGUGUGUGUGUAUAACAGCCUCUACAUCUGUUUCCAUGUGAAUUACACAUUUGUAAACAUCUCUUCUGGCUUUCCACUUUUAACAUUGUUCACGCAAUGGGACUCAUUUUAUAGACUCAUUUCAUCGUUGAUCAUCAUUGCUUUAGGCCUAUUGGAAAACAUCCUGUGAUAUGGUGUACUGUAUGUAAAAACAUAAUUAAACGGAUUGUUUGUAUUUAGGAUCACCACUGAAAAGAGAGUUUAUAGAGUCAAGAAAGUAGCACUGAAAUCCCAAAGCAACUUUUGAUUACAGGCAUCCUAAAACAGAAUAAAAUAGUAAAAAAAAAAAAAAAAGAAAAGAAAGCAAGGUAACAGAAUUUUACAUUAGAUUUAUGUUUCAGUUGAACAGCAGGUACCUUGACGGCUGCAAUUCAGUUAGACUCGAUACUGCGAAGAGUGGUUGAAAUUACACAGCAGAAGAAAAGUGGUUUUCUAAUAUAUCGCACUUCACAGAGUAGGCUGAACUGAAGUUUAUGCAGCUGAUUUAAAUGGACCGGUGCAUUGGAAAUAAUGGCUAUACUAUUUGUUCACUAAGCUGCAGGGCAUUAAUUCCAGACACACCUCAGACUCUUACCGCAGACUCUUGUGUCUGCUGUUUCCUGGUCCUGUGGAUAGCGUCUUUUUGCUUUUUUACUAUGUCCUGCACCCUCCUUCUCUUCCUCUCCUGCUCAAAUUCCACAUUUCUCCUCAUAUGUCGUUCCCUUCUCCUCCUCUCAAGGACUUGUCGAUGCAUGUAUUCAUGCACCUCUUGUGCCUUUUGCCUCUGUGCUGUACUUUGUUUGGCAGGACCUUCAUUCUCCUUCUCUUUCAAACACAAUGGCCAUGCAGAGUUGCUUUUUCCAGAGCUACUAGGAGGGUUUGCUGCCUGGUUAGGUGGAUGUGAAAUAUUUCUAGGGGAAUGACAGCAUGAUUUCUCAGUCACAUUUGACUCAUUAGAUCUAUGUUUUGAACCACCUUGAGUGUUCAGUGCUGCAGUCUGUUGGCGAUUCUUCUGUGUGAAUUGUCCCUUAUGCUCUGUAAAUUAAACACAACUUGAUUAAAAUUUCCAAAUCUAUUUACUGUAAACUAGAGGCAGGAUCUUUUGAUAGUCAUAUGGUUGAAGUGUAUUGUACCACAAUAAGAGUACUGAAUUCUGCAGCAUACUCUUGGUGUUGUCCUCCUGAGACUCUGAGGCCCUGAUGCAUUGGGAAUCUAAGACCUCUUUCACAAGCUUCUGGGCAUCUCUCCAAGCAGAUAUGAAGCAUCCCAUCGAGUCAUUUCUUACGUUUUCUUGGAGCAGUACCAUGGAUGGCUCGGUUCAUAUGGUGGUCUUUGCCUGAGGAUGGGUUUGUGUUGGCGUUCCAUCGAGACACAGGAGAUCUGAUGAUGUCAUUGCUCAUUUAGUGUUCAGUGAAGCUCAGAUACAUUACAGACCUUUGCUACUCACUCGGCAGACUUUCCUGGUUAUGUGAUCUUGACAUUUUAUCUCAAUCACUGGACUUAAAGAUAUGGUUUCCAGUCUCUGCUGUUGGAUCUUGGCUCUCAGAUUCUCAAGAGCCUUUGAUUUUGGGGAGCCCCUUUUCAGCAGAUCCAUACGGUUGGCCCUCGUCGGUGAGUUGAUAGACAGAGCACUACUUUGUCUGGAUCCUUGGAUAUGAGACUCGGCCUGUUGGAGAGGAACUUCCUUGGACACAUCUCUGCAUAUGUCCUGAAGUGGAGGUCGAGCUUUGUGUGAGAUCUCCAACAGAAAAGGAGUGGAUGAAUGGGGCUCAACAUGUGUCAUCUCACACCACAUAUUCCUAAGUUUGAAGGGCAGGAAUAGUCUUAGACAGUCAUUUCUAUAUAUAAUUUUUUAGUUUUAGAUUUUUAAAAAAUGUAUUUUGGAUUACUGUUCUAUAGAAAAGAGCAACAUUCAACGUUUCAAACAUCAAUUUUCCAAAAAAUUUAAUUCUUGCAAAGAAACAUUUUCAUGUUAUUCACUCAAUUGGUGUUUUUGAUGAUGGUGGUGGACAGUGGUGUCUAACAUGUCAUCCUAAAUCUCUUGUAGGUAUUCAUUUAGGUUGAGGUCCGUUUUUUCUGUGUUUUGACGCCAGUACCAUACCGAGCCUCUGUUCUUUAUUCAUGUUUCCCGGUUUUUGAUCCUGUUUUGUCCUCGUGUUUAGAGAAUCUUCUUUAACCUAGUAUAUGAUGUUUGUACAUCUCCUGACCCACACCUUUUUCUGGAUUCUGAUGUUGCCUAUUUUUUAUUUUUUUUUUAAAUAUUUGUCUGCCUGCCUCUUAUUAGCACAAUUUAACUGCAUUUGCAUUUGUCUUACUCCUCACUGUAAGUUCAAAAAAGUGAGGAAACUAAUUACCUCAAAAUGUUUAAGGUGAUAUAUCAAUUUCUUUAAGCCAAAUACACUUAAAUUUAACAGCAAUGUAACUCAAUUAACUCUGUUUAAGUGUAACUGUUUAACUGGAUUUUUGAUUUCCAUGAACUGUAAGCCGUAAUCAUCAAGAUUAAAACAAAAAAGGUUUGAAAUAUUUCACUUUAUGUGCAAUGAAUCUAGAAUAUAUGAAAGUUCCACAUUAUGAAUUAAAAUUACGAAAAAAAAUUACUUUCCCAUGAUAUUCUAAUUUUCUGAGAUGCACCUGUAUACGCUCAGUUGCCUAGUGUCUCUGUCUAUACCAAGCCUUUAUAGUGUGUUUGUUCUUUCUGGGUUUUUACUUUGCUCAUGUUCACGACCUCGUCUCUUUGCCCUGCCUUGUUUGUACUGUUUGCCUGAUCGCCUGACCUCUGCCUGUUUAUGAUUAUCGACUUCUACCUCAUCCUGUGGACUUGUUGUUUUAUUAAACUGCCAUUCGUGCACUUGCUUCUGCCUGUGCCUCCAUUACGUGACAUAUACAUAUACAUAUACAUUUGAGUACAAAACUAUGCAUCCCCUGAAAUGAACACACCCCUGAGUGUAUCUCACAACAAAUAACAAUCCAAGAGACAUAAAGAAAUGUCUGGGAGAAAGCAGUUAUAACAAAUAUGUAAGGAAAAAUGAAAAGAUAAAUAUUACACUUAAAAAUAUCCAUAUGCUGCCAAGACGU